rnacentral:ribozyme from 15 species
UCUAAUUUUUUUUUUUGUUUUUGUUUUUUACUUUACUUUCUAAAUUUUAAUUGGUGUGACACAUUGGAAAAUUAGGAGUAUAUUGUGCAGAAGGAAGUCAUGUAAUAUAGUGAGUGUACUGCAAUGAUGAAAGAACAUGCAUUUGUUUCAUAGGCAUUACAUCUCUCUUACGAA